AGAGUUUGAUCAUGGCUCAGAACGAACGCUGGCGGCGUGGAUAAGACAUGCAAGUCGAACGAGAUUUUUUCCUGUAGCAAUACAGGGAAAAGUCUAGUGGCGAACGGGUGCGUAACACGUGGGCAAUCUGCCUUAAAGUGGGGGAUAGCUCGGCGAAAGCCGAAUUAAUACCGCAUGUGAUCAGGGGAGGCAUCUUCCCGAAAUCAAAAGUGGCGCAAGCUACUGCUUUUUGAGGAGCCCGCGGCCUAUCAGCUAGUUGGCGAGGUAACGGCUCACCAAGGCUUUGACGGGUAGCUGGUCUGAGAGGACGACCAGUCACACUGGAACUGAGACACGGUCCAGACACCUACGGGUGGCAGCAGUCGAGAAUUUUUCUCAAUGGGGGAAACCCUGAAGGAGCGACGCCGCGUGGAGGAUGAAGGUCUUCGGGUUGUAAACUCCUGUCAUUUGGGAACAAGUGCCGGUACCUAACUGCUACCGGCUUGAUAGUACCAGAAGAGGAAGGGACGGCUAACUCUGUGCCAGCAGCCGCGGUA
rnacentral:rRNA from 1 species